GUCCGGACGAAUAGUCGAUGCUGGAGCCUCGAGGGUAGCGAGUGUGUUCGGAACGUUACUCUUCGUCUUUACGCGCGGUACAUCACACUACUUUUUUUUUUUCCUUUUUUUUUUCUUUUCUCGUCUAACUCUUAUAUCAUAUUAUCCUUUCUCUUUCUAUAUUGAAUAUUAUACACAUAUAAGAGUACAAAAAAUAAAAUAGAAAAAAUUUUUAAAUCGUCAGAGUGCCUGGUGCGUCACUUACUCUAACAAUAAACGUUGAAAAACAGGUGGACACGUCGAUUUGGUGUAUACGUGCGUGCGUCGUGCAUGUAUGUAUAUAUAUAUAUAUAUAUAUAUAUAUAUAUAUAUACCGUGUGUCGUCCGGUCGGUCCUCUUCUAUUAAGAAGAACGAGCAUCGACCAGUCAGUCUGAUAUAAUCGAGAGAACUAUUAUCGAGCUUGCCCCCGAUCUAACGAAAAUCGUCGAACGUUUCCUAUAAGGGAAAAAUCGUGAGGAGGAAGAAGGAAAGAAAGAAAAAAGAAGAAGGAAUAGAAGAAGAAGAAGAGAAGACAUUGAAAAAAAAAGGAAAGUGGAAAAGAAAGAGAAAAAGAGAAUUUUUUCAGUUCGACAUCGUAAAGAAAAACUCUGAUCGCUAGUUUGUUUUUCGCUUUUCUCUCUCCCUCUCUCUCUCUCUCUCUCUCUCGAUAUCUUUUUUCUUUUACUUUUUUCUUUUUUCUUUUUUUUUUCUAUUUUUUUUUUAUAAUUCUUUUACGUCAUCCUUCGACCAAUCCGAGAGAAAUUGAAGAGAGAAGAAAAAAGGAAGUAGAAGAAGAAGAAGAGGAAGAAGAAGAAGAAGAAGAAGAAGAAGAAGAAGAAGAUAGAAAGAUUUUCUUCUUUACCUCGUCGUAAAUUUUCCUUUGGAGAUCACAUGAAAUGUUCAUUCGCUAAAAGAGAAACUUAGAAAAAAGUAGUAUCUACGAGUGUUUAAGUUACGUUAUUAUUUUCUUUUGUUGAUUUUUAUCUCCCUCUCUAUCACCUGUCUCUAUCCCACCAACCUCUCUCUGUCUUUCUCUCAGUGGUGAAAAUUUCUUUCUUUUUUUUUUUAUUAUUUUUUUUUUAUUUCUUUUUUUUUUUUUUUUUUUUAUUUCGAAACCGAUGAUAAUACAUACUGGUAGAACGUUAGAACGUAGAAGAAAAACACGUACAUACGUGUAUACGUUUAUACAUAUACAUAUAUUUACAUAUAUAUAAAUACAUGUACACAUACGCAUACACAUAGAGAGAGAGAGAGAGAGAGAGAGAGAGAGAGAGAGAGAGGGAGAGAGUGAGAGAGAAAAAGGGAGAAAGAAAGAAGAGGAUCGUGAUCGUACGAAUGUGCAAAACAACGAGACGAAAGGAUGCUCAACAUGUCGCUCUGGACAUGGGAUAGAUGAUACCACUGAUGUUUAUACCAUGCCGUAGAUCAGACGAACUAGACAGAAUGGAUUGGACGUACGGACUCAGGAGGAGCCUCCUGAGGAUUUUAUCACGGUGAACAAAAAUUCCUAAAUCGCAAGACUGCAAAUCCGUCGUCGUACAAUCUUUUUUUCGACGCGUACGAAAAAGACUGAAAUAUUAUUAAAAAGGAAACAACAUUGAAAAUAUAUACGCGUGCAAUACUGCUGGUCCAUCCACUUAAUUAAAAGGAAAUAAAUAAAGAAAUAAACAAAUAAAUAAAUAAAUAAAAGGAAAAAAGUACGAGGAGAACAAGAUACAAGAGAAAAGUAACAGAAAGAAAUCAUGUAAAGGAUGUACUGUCGAUUAGUGGAGAUACUGAUAAAAAUUGUGUUCUGAUUUUUAUUUAUUUUUCUUUCUUUUUUUUUUUUUUAUUUUUUAUUUACUUUUUCUUUUUUCCAAGUUAUUAUCGACGGAGUCACAUAUCUUGAGAGCUCCUUCAAGGUUUUUCAUUUUUUUUCUUUUCCGUUUUUUUUUUUUUUUACAUACAGAUACCUAUACUCGAAUACAUACACACACACAUAUAUAUAUAUAUAUAUGCAUGUAUGUAUGUACGUAUAUAUGUAUGUGUAUAUAUAUAUAUAUUCGUAAACAAAAGCAUAUAUACAUAUCUCUCCUUGGAUCUCCCGUCCAAUUGUUUUUCGGUCGAGUCAUUGAUAUUUUGUAAUGUAAAAAAGUUUCUACGAGUAUCAUCCAAAGGUAUGUGAGUGAGAUAAAAAAAUAAAUAAAUAUAGAUAGAUAGAUAGAUAGAUAAAUAGAUAGA